UUAGAUUAAUUAUCGUCUAUUAUUGAAUUAUUGCAUAAGUUUAUUAAUCUCUGAUUUUUCCAUCUUUCAUGUACGGUAGUGCUGUAUUCACUUCUCCACAGUGGACACACUCAAGAUGCUGAGUUGACUAUUAAACCCAAAUGGUCCACUUUUUAUAUUGGAGAAUCUGUGACCUUCAAAUGUGACAUGAAGGAAGGAAGAGCAGAAGACUGGAAUUACACAUUGAAGAGACGUGAUUGGACACCUUAUUCUAAUGUCCCACAACAACAUUUAUUAUUAUAUCCUCUAUAUAAAGUUCACAGUGGUGAUUAUCAGUGCUGUGGUCACAGGAAGAGUUCAAAUUCUACAAAGUGCAGCAACAGAGUCUCUAUACACGUAUCAGACAAACCCAGAUUCAGACUGACAGCAGGAACAACAACUGUGUCAGUAGGAGACAGAGUGACACUGAGCUGCUCUGUGGAGAAAUCUGCUGGUUGGAAAUAUGAGUGGUUCAGAAGAACCUCACACACCUCUGAAUACAGAAUCAAUGAUGGAGAAAAUGGAAACAUCAGAGUCUCACAAGGAGGAAUCUACAGAUGCAGAGGAUUUAGAGGAGAACCAGCCGUCUACUCUGAUCAAAGUGAUGAAGUCA